GACGAACGCUGGCGGCGUGCCUAAUACAUGCAAGUCGAACGCAGUGGGGACGGGUGAGUAACACGUGGGUAACCUCCCAUCAGAGGGGAUAACACUUGGAAACAGGUGCUAAACCGAUACUGAUGGAUGGACCCGCGGUGCAUUAGCUAGUUGGUGAGGUAACGGCUCACCAAGGCCACGAUGCAUAGCCGAGCUGCGGGGGGGAGAGGCCAAACUGGGACUGUGACACGGCGCAGACUCCUACGGGAGGAAGCAUGAGGGAAGUUUCGGCAAUUGACGAAAGUCUGACCGAGCAACGCCGCGUGAGUGAAGAAGGUUUUAGGAUCGUAAAACUCUGUUGUUAGAGAAGCGGUAUCUAACCAGAAAGCCACGGCUAACUACGUGCCAGCAGCCGCGGUAAUAC
rnacentral:rRNA from 1 species